UGGCGAACGGGUGAGUAACACGUGAGUAACCUGCCCUUAACUCUGGGAUAAGCCUUGGAAACGGGGUCUAAUACUGGAUAUUGACUUUUCCUCGCAUGGGGAUUGGUUGAAAGAUUUAUUGGUUUUGGAUGGACUCGCGGCCUAUCAGCUUGUUGGUGAGGUAAUGGCUCACCAAGGCGACGACGGGUAGCCGGCCUGAGAGGGUGACCGGCCACACUGGGACUGAGACACGGCCCAGACUCCUACGGGAGGCAGCAGUGGGGAAUAUUGCACAAUGGGCGAAAGCCUGAUGCAGCGACGCCGCGUGAGGGAUGACGGCCUUCGGGUUGUAAACCUCUUUCAGUAGGGAACAAGGCCAGUGUUUAGCUGGUUGAGGGUACUUGCAGAAGAAGCGCCGGCUAACUACGUGCCAGCAGCCGCGGUAAUACGUAGGGCGCAAGCGUUAUCCGGAAUUAUUGGGCGUAAAGAGCUCGUAGGCGGUUUGUCGCGUCUGCCGUGAAAGUCCGGGGCUCAACCCCGGAUCUGCGGUGGGUACGGGCAGACUAGAGUGAUGUAGGGGAGACUGGAAUUCCUGGUGUAGCGGUGAAAUGCGCAGAUAUCANGAGGAACACCGAUGGCGAANGCAGGUCUCUGGGCAUUAACUGACGCUGANGAGCGAAAGCAUGGGGAGCGAACAGGAUUAGAUACCCUGGUAGUCCAUGCCGUAAACGUUGGGCACUANGUGUGGGGGACAUUCCACGUUUUCCGCGCCGUAGCUAACGCAUUAAGUGCCCCGCCUGGGGAGUAC
rnacentral:rRNA from 1 species